AAGAUGUACUAUAAGACUUCUAAUCUUUAAAUAGUGUAACACUACAUCUUU
rnacentral:tRNA from 2 species